CCCUUAGAUGUUCUGGGCCGCACGCGCGCUACACUGAUGCAUUCAACGAGUCUAAAACCUGGUCUGAGAGGCCUGGGCAAUCUUUUAAACCUGCAUCGUGAUAGGGAUAGAUUAUUGCAAUUAUUAAUCUUGAACGAGGAAUUCCUAGUAAACGCAAAUCAUCAAUUUGCAUUGAUUACGUCCCUGCCCUUUGUACACACCGCCCGUCGCACCUACCGAUUGAAUGGUCCGGUGAAGCCUCGGGAUUGUGGCCAGUUCACUUUAUUGGGAGUUGGCUGUGAGAACUUGUCUAAACCUUAUCAUUUAGAGGAAGGUGAAGUCGUAACA
rnacentral:rRNA from 1 species